UUAGUUUUUUAAUGUUUAUUUAUUUGUUUUUGAGACAGAGAGAUAGAGUGUGAGCAGGGGAGAGGAAGAGACAGAGGGAGACAGAGACUCCCAAGCAGGAUCCGCACUGUUAGCACGGAGCCCUACGCAGGGCUGGGACUCACGAUUUGUGAGAUCCUGACCUGAGCCAAAACCCAGAGUUGGACGCUCAACCGACUGAGCCACCCAGGCGCCCCCCACCUUUUAAAAUGUUAUAUAUAGAGAGAGUGCAAGUGGGGGAGAGGGGCUCUUAAGCAGGUUUCAUGCACAGUGUGGAGCCCGAUGUGGGGCUCAAUCCCUGGGAUCAUGACCUGAGCCUAAUUCAAGAGUCUGAUGCUCAACCAAUGGAGCCACUCAGGCGCCCCUCACCUCUUCCUUUCUGCAAGUACCACAUCUCCCCCCUACACCGAGCACUUUUCUUCCUUGCAUCCAUUUGUCUCAGGGAGAGUUGACCCCCAUACCUCAAGAGUCACCCCAUUGGCCUGAGGGGAAUUCUGUUCCCCUUGAGGGCAGUUGGUUCAGGCAAAGGCAUAUGACCCAGUCUGACAAAUACCCUGAGAAGUCCAGGGAGGACUGGGGAGUUUUCUCCCUCUUGAGAGAAAGCCAUAGUAUAUCAGUUAGAAAUGUUUUUAUCAGCAAGUAACGGAACCACCCCCCCAUACACACACACACACACACACACACACACACACACACACACUGACAAAUAACGGUUUAAGAGUGAAGAUAUUUAACGAGCUCAGUAUAAAAGUCUGGAGGUAGGUGGUUCCUGGCAUUGGUGUCUCAAAUAAUAUUAGGAUCAACAUCUCUGUGAUUCUCUUUUUCUUUCAUUAAUGGUGUUUAAAAGGCUGCCACUCCAGCCGUUAUGUCCAUGUUGAGGCCUGGGAAGAAAGGAACUUUGUCAGGGACUGAAACCUGUCCCUUUUCUAAUCAACGAUUUCCCAGAAAUGCCCUGGUUUUCUUUCACUUUCAUCUCAUUGGACAGCACUGUCACCUGGCCACUUCUAGCUGCAAGGCAGACUGGGAAGGUGAGUUUUUGGCUCUUCUUGUCUAUAGAAGAAACGGGAAAUGAAGAAGACAUUGGGUUGAGAAGUGGGACUAGGUUAGCUACACCCAGGAAGCAAGCCUCCGGUGUCUGGGAUCACUGCUGCCAUCUUGGUUCUGGCCGGAGCAGAGAGAUAGAAGGAACCUACCUACAGCCCAGAUGAAAAGUGAGCAAAGUAGGUCAAGAUACCAUUCACGGAGAAAGGAAAAAGUAACCCUCAAGCAUGUGAAAAGAUGCCCAACUUCACUCAUAAGAGCAAUUAAAAUCGAAAUAACACCACGAUACUACCUUUUUACCUAUCAGAUUGGCAAAAAUCCAAAUGUUUGACAACACAUUCUGUUCAUAAGGUUGUGGGGAAACAGGCAUUCUCCUGCGUGAAGGGCAAAAUAGCACGAUCUCCUGUGGUGGUGAAAGAGUGGAUAAAGGAACGCAUGAACUAGGGUCUUGAUGUCCUCAUCAAGAUGCCACAUCAACUGACCUGUGGCACAGGGCCCAGCCUCCUGUGGGACUUCUGGUAAAUGACACAAUCAGUGUCCUCACUGAUUAAGCCCGUUUGAGGAGAGUUUUUGUUACCCAGAACCCACGAUAUCCCAAAUGAUGCCCCUGCCUCCCACCUGAAGCCCAGGAGCAAAGGUAUUCUGGCCAGAAGCCAGAUCAUGGAAUCUCAUUGGGUCACCCGGUGACUAGCCAAACCCAAGCAGGUACGGAUCCAAAAGCUGAGCUCAUUGCUGACAGAAGAAUUCCUCCCAGAGAAUGGGCCGUGAGCCUAUUCCCAAAUCAGUGGGUGGGUAACUGCCUAAGGUGAUAUCUAACCCGUGUGGUCAUGAGAGGGGGCUGCGUCUUGAGUGGUUGAAAGGCCUGUUGGAAUCCAAAUUGUAAGGACUGCCCUAAGGACUUAGACCUUGAGGUGGUGAGAGGGCUGCCUCGGUCUUGCUUGACCGGAUGUCCUAGCUUGCUAUUUGGUUUCUUGGAUUGCCUUUAUUUGCAUUUCUUAUUCACGGGGCAACCUCCUGGUUCCUGAGUAUUCCCAAAUUGUGUGGCAAGUGAAGAAAUUAGGCUUCUGUUUGUCUUUUGAAAAAUUGCUCGUGAAGAAUGGACAGGCCCAGUGGAAUCCCUUCAUCCUCCCAUCCAACAUUCCUCACUAAUGACCUUCCUAGUCUGAGAUGCGGUUAAAGACGGAUGGCUCGUGCCCUCGGGCUACACCGCUUCAUAUGCUGCAUUUCAAAAUCCAUGCCCUCUGUACUGAACACCAAUGACUGGGACAAACUUCCAGGAUAUUCAGAGUAGCUGGUAGCCACUCGUGAAACCCUAUCCAUGUGUAGGCCUGCACCAAUUCUGCCCAGGUGUCAGGCAGGCGAGAGCCAGGAUACCUGGCUUCUGAGGAUGGGAGCCUUCAUGGCCCUGGGGAUCCAAAGGACUUGGUUUGUUCCCUUCUAAGGCGGAGUCGAGGCCAGAACAAAGGCAUAAGCAAGAAAAACCUCAUUGAGGUCAUACUGCCAACGGACAUUCUGAUGCCCACAGCCAGGGGCAGUAAGAGGUGUGUAAGUGGGCCAGUGUGAUCCCUGGUGGGGUUCCUGUGUGAUCACGUGGCAGCCCGACAGGAGCAGGAAGGUGGGUGGGAAUGCAGGGUCUUCCGCAAGGACAGAACAGAAAGCAGGUGCCAAGAGCGCCACCGUACCUUGGGGGCGUGAUGGCUGUAUCUCCAAAGUGGGUAGAUGCUGGCCUCUUCCUUGGCAUCCUUCUAGCCCCCAGAAGGGCUCAGUCUGUGGGCGUGGCAAUCGUCCAGACUCCCCUCCAGCCGUAUUUCCGGCAACCGUCCCGCCACCAGCGUCAUACGCACUCUGAUCACUGCUCUGAGCACAUGUAUAUUUAGUUUGUCCCCUGCUGUUCAUUUGUGAUUGUUUGCAGGUUGUGUCAUGUGUGUAUGUUAUGUCUACGCUGGAUACAGGCCCCUGAGACCAAGGUCUGUCUUCUAGUUUUUGUGAAUCACCAUCCCCCUCCUCCACAAACCACACCCCCACCCCCCCCACCAGGAAGAACUAGCACCUACUACGGGGCAUUGCAUAACACAGACAAAAAUGCUUGUAAAUAAGUUACCAUUACUGACAGUCCGAGGUUCACCCCCACUGUGAACCAACACUGUGGAGGGAAAAGCUGAGGUUCAGAGCCGAGGAACACGUAGAGAGGGGCUCUUUGUUAAGAACAGACCAGGCAUCUAUUUGCCCGAGAGGGCUGUCAGAAUUACCAAAAAAAAUUGGGAGGCGUGUCCCAUAGCCUCAUGGGACACAUGCACCUGGGAAGAUUCUUCACAGACCUGGCAGAUAGCGGGAACGACAAUUGCCAGCCAUCACAUCACCCUGCCAUAGCAGAUCAGUGCACAAGAAAUUAGAAUCCGAACAUUUUGCUAUGGCUUGGCGAAAUCUAAGACAGCUUUUUUCCAGAAGUCUUUUACUAUGAGAUUCCUUGACAUGGCGACCCGUCCAACUUAAAGGAUUUAUUCGUGUUGUCAGCUUUUCAGAAAGGUAUUUCUUGAAACAAAACAACGAAAAACACCGACUUCGAAGGGAGGGCGCACAUUGUAGAGGUCGCGGGAAGACCAAGGUGCGGGGUGGCUCCUGGCCACCAGGGGGCGUGGUCUCCCCGGUCCUCGGCUGCAAAGCCAACCGUGGCGACCGCAGCCCGCCCCGCACUACCUGUCACAAGGCCCGCAGCCCCCUCCGCGAAGCCCGGGCCCGGGGAUCCAGGUGGGCACCAGGCCUCUUCUCCCACUUGGGCAUUUCCUGCAGCGGCCCGUCCAGGUUUCACCAUGUCAGUGAGGCCCUGGAGCCUCACCAGCUCCAGGAAGCCCCCUCUGAUUACUCCAGAGUGAGGAAAAGGGUCUAGUCGGCCCCAUAUACAGUUAUAUCCCCAGCGCCUAAAACUAUGCCUGGCACAAGUGGGGGCUCGAGAGCAAGAGGGAAGUUUUGGACGAUGGCGUCUUCCUCGGACGGUCUCAGGAGUGUGGCUGUUUUGAAAAAUCAGGCGUUGCUGCCCGAGGCGCUUCAGGCUUUCAACAGCCCUCUUAGGAAUUGAAGACAGCCCCUGAAUAGAAAUAAAGGAAGGGGAAGAGUGCUUAUGAAGUGCGUGAUCGGUGUUUUCAGUCGGAUCACUCAGGGGGACGUCCCGCAGCGCUCCUCUUUCUCAGGAUCCCGGUGAUUGACGUCACAAGCCCUUCCCGGAGACUGUGCAGCGAGACGCUGGAGGAGAACCGAGAAGUGAGACGUCAGUGAGUCAGAACUCAUUCAAAGCCCCGGAGUUUCCCGGCCGUUACCUUCCACGCCUGGGCCUAUGAGUCAGGGUCAUCUCGCCCCCGUUGUGUGUGGUGCCUACAUGCUUCCCUGCCCUGCUCUUCCGGGGGCCCCAUCCCAGCCUUCACGCGUGCACACACACCGGCCCCGGCCGGCCGCGCGUCCCCUGCCGCGUGUCCCGGCGAGGGUGCGGGUGCAGGCGCGCCCGGCUUAUUCACUCACCCCCCGGGGGGUGUGCACGGGCCCCUUGGGUGCUGAGCUCAGGCUCCGCACGGCCAGAGACGAACCGAAAAAAGAAAAAUAAAUAUUAGUACUUCCUUUCCCAUAAAUGUUGCAACAGUCUAGCUGUAGCUUAGAGCGUCUAUUUUUUUAAGUCCAUUUAUUUAUUUGGGGGGUGGGAGGGGCAGAGCAGGAGAGAGAAAGAAUCCUAAGCAGGCUCCAUGCUCAGUGUGGAGCCCGGG